CUGGGCUGCCGACAGCUCUGAGCUCUGGGCUCAGCCCUGAAGGAAUGACAGAAUGGCGCCACAUCCCAAGCAAAUCCAUGGGUCUACUGAAGCAGAUAAGCAGGAAGUAACCCCUCCAGCUCAUCCAUCUCAUCCUUCAGUUGCUGAAUAUCCCAUGGAGCACACAGAGAACCAUAGACUCUGCCCACCACCGGCAACAGGUGCUUCACAGUGGAAAGUUCAUUGAAGAACAGUCCUGGGAUGAUGAACAGCUUCAUGGACACAAGAAGGUAGGGUGAGAGACCCCUCCUCCAGACAAAAGUUGCUGGGUCUGGAACCUGGAGAGCAAUGCAUACAUCCCCUUUUCUUGUGUGUUCUCAUCACCCUGCAGAGAAAGUGACCCACAUUGGAUGGAUGGGUGAAUGGGUGCGUGGAUAAAUGCAUCAGUGGGUGAAUAGAUUUAUAGAGCUAGUUCAUGCAAGGUCACAGAGGCUUGGAAACACAAGAAGCAAAUUCACUUCUCUAGCACUGUCCAUGGAGGCUUGACUCACCCUGACCUCAGGUUGGUCCCUCUGCCAGUACAGC
rnacentral:lncRNA from 1 species